UACAGAGGGUGCAAGCGUUGUUCGGAAUUAUUGGGCGUAAAGCGCGUGUAGGCGGCAUGGCAAGUCGGGUGUGAAAGCCCUCAGCUCAACUGAGGAAGUGCGCCCGAAACUGCUUUGCUUGAGUGCUGGAGAGGGUCGCGGAAUUCCCCAAGUAGAGGUGAAAUUCGUAGAUAUGGGGAGGAACACCGGUGGCGAAGGCGGCGACCUGGACAGUAACUGACGCUGAGACGCGAAAGCGUGGGUAGCAGACAGG
rnacentral:rRNA from 1 species